CCUACGGGAGGCAGCAGUGGGGAAUAUUGGACAAUGGGCGCAAGCCUGAUCCAGCCAUGCCGCGUGUGUGAAGAAGGCCUUCGGGUUGUAAAGCACUUUUGUCCGGAAAGAAAAGCUUCGGGUUAAUACCCCGGGGUUCUGACG
rnacentral:rRNA from 1 species